GAUGAACUCUAGCUACAGGCUUAACACAUGCAAGUCGAGGGGCAGCAUGGUCUUAGCUUGCUAAGGCCGAUGGCGACCGGCGCACGGGUGAGUAACACGUAUCCAACCUGCCGUCUACUCUUGGUCAGCCUUCUGAAAGAAAGAUUAAUACAAGAUGGCAUCAUGAGUCCACAUGUUCACAUGAUUAAAGGUAUUCCGGUAGACGAUGGGGAUGCGUUCCAUUAGAUAGUAGGCGGGGUAACGGCCCACCUAGUCUUCGAUGGAUAGGGGUUCUGAGAGGAAGGUCCCCCACAUUGGAACUGAGACACGGUCCAAACUCCUACGGGAGGCAGCAGUGAGGAAUAUUGGUCAAUGGGCGAGAGCCUGAACCAGCCAAGUAGCGUGAAGGAUGACUGCCCUAUGGGUUGUAAACUUCUUUUAUAAAGGAAUAAAGUCGGGUAUGCAUACCCGUUUGCAUGUACUUUAUGAAUAAGGAUCGGCUAACUCCGUGCCAGCAGCCGCGGUAAUACGGAGGAUCCGAGCGUUAUCCGGAUUUAUUGGGUUUAAAGGGAGCGUAGAUGGAUGUUUAAGUCAGUUGUGAAAGUUUGCGGCUCAACCGUAAAAUUGCAGUUGAUACUGGAUAUCUUGAGUGCAGUUGAGGCAGGCGGAAUUCGUGGUGUAGCGGUGAAAUGCUUAGAUAUCACGAAGAACUCCGAUUGCGAAGGCAGCCUGCUAAGCUGCAACUGACAUUGAGGCUCGAAAGUGUGGGUAUCAAACAGGAUUAGAUACCCUGGUAGUCCACACGGUA
rnacentral:rRNA from 1 species